CCAAAGAGACUUACAAUAAGUGCAUUCAACCACAGGGUACAAACCCAGAACAAUGAGAACCAAGAAAGCCAAACUCCAAAGUGCUAUAAGUAAGUGCUACAAAGUGCUACCUAGUUCAGCUAUAGUCAGUGUGUAUAUUAGCAGUAUGUUGGUUUUGCAGUUUGUACAAAAAUAGAAAUGAAAAAAUAGUGAAAGUAACAAAAACAUCAUAAAUAGUAGUUUAAAAGGGACAUAUUAUGAAAAUUCCACUUUCUUGGUGCUUCUACACAUUAAUUUGGGUUUUUUGAGACUUGUCUGACGUGAGUAGAUCCACAAAUGCGUCUUUUUUCAACAUGGACCUGUCUGUAGCCAAUUAGAUGUCGCCCUCAUUUUCAUUCAUUCAUUUUUUCACAUUAGCGCAGUUCCCCCGUCCCCUCCCCAUGAGCCGGCCAGCGUUACAGCAACGCGACUUGUGAUGCAACGGGUCCGAAGUCAGCAAACUAUGGCGCCUGGUAGUGAGAGGGGGGGAUCUGGCUCAUUAGCAUUUUAAGGGAAUUGGCACUCAAAACAGGUCACUCUGUGGAGGGCUGUUUUGGACAGGGAAAAAGGGGGCUGUUUUAAAUCCUUGUCGUAUUUUGACCAAAGUAUGUUGGAGCAUAUGGGAACCAUAUCAACUUGUGGUGAAAUGGGCAUAGGAUGGAUCCUUUGGGUUCAAUCAUUCCAUUGUCAGCUUGAUUUUUUGAGCUAAUGUAACUAUAAAUGAUAGGAGAUUUAAAUAUAUACAGAUUGUUGGACAAACUAGGUCUGUUCACCGGGCAGCGAGUCCCAAUGGGUUAUGUAAGGUACAUUUAGACACAACCUGCUUUCCUGUACCAUUUCAUUUUUAUUGCCAGUGUGUACCAUUUGCCAGCAUCUAUCAGCAAUGUUUCAAUUGACAAUCAACUGAAACCUCCCUUUUCGCCGCAGAAGUACGACAAUGGCCGAUGUGGAGACAUGAAAGUCUCCCUCCAGAUGAUAUGAUGGGCUCAUGCUCAGCUAACGAAAAUACAAUUGUUUUUCUCUUCAUGGGAUUAGACACCAAUAAAAAGUUAAGUUUUAGUCAGUUCUGCCAAUGCCCUUAAAUGUUCUAAAUGUUACUAGUUGUUCGUUUAAAGUUAUUGAAUCAUAAAUGUGAUAAUAAUAAUAAUAAUACAAAAAUGAUGUUCCAAUUUUGACGUGUUGGCCCACCGUCCUUGGAGGUUUUAACUUUGGCCCAGCGCCCGUGUUCUCAGUGUACGGUGUGCCACAAGGUGGGCGGAGACUGGGCCUGUGGAGGCGGAGCUUU
ensembl:lncRNA